rnacentral:rRNA from 1 species
AGUGAACGCUGGCGGUAGGCCUAACACAUGCAAGUCGAACGGCAGCACAGUAAGAGCUUGCUCUUACGGGUGGCGAGUGGCGGACGGGUGAGGAAUACAUCGGAAUCUACUUUUUCGUGGGGGAUAACGUAGGGAAACUUACGCUAAUACCGCAUACGACCUACGGGUGAAAGCAGGGGAUCUUCGGACCUUGCGCGAUUGAAUGAGCCGAUGUCGGAUUAGCUAGUUGGCGGGGUAAAGGCGCACCAAGGCGACGAUCCGUAGCUGGUCUGAGAGGAUGAUCAGCCACACUGGAACUGAGAAACGGUCCAGACUCCUACGGUAGGACGCAGUGGGGAAUAUUGGGCAAUGGGCGAGAGCCUGAUACAGCCAUACCGGGUGAGUGAAGAAGGCCUUCGGGUUGUAAAGCCCUUUUGUUGGGAAAGAAAAGCAGCAGGUUAAUACCCCGCUGUUCUGACGGUACCCAAAGAAUAAGCACCGGCUAACUUCGUG